UAAGGUGCACACACACACACACACACACACACAUGCAGUCGUUUUGGGGACAUUACAUUGACUUACAUUUCCUGGAAGCUUAACCACCAGCUAACCAUAAGAACAAUGAUUACUUGCCUAAUCCUAACCCUUACCCUAAUAUUUAAUGAUUUACAUUGUGGGGACUUUCAUUUUGUGGGGACUUUCAUUUAGGUCCUCACAAUGUGACUAUGUAAACGGAUUUUUGUCCCCACAACUGCAGGAUACGCGUCCACACACACACACACACACACGCGAGCGCGCGGUCCCUGCAGUGAGAGACACUGCCCUCUUCUCCUUCAGACCAGUUAGAAAUUCAAAACACAACCGCCCUGCAAAAUCUCCCGUCCUGCACCGCGGCCUAGAAAAGCUUCUGACGGUUAUUUUAAUUUAACAUAAAAAAUAAAUAAAAAUCGCAGGAGCAAUAUUAUUCAAAAGUAACGACGGGGAUCAAUUGUGCUGGUCGACAGGCACAUUUUGAUACAGGUGAAAUAUUGCUGCACGUGCGUUUGAUUUUCUAUUUAUUUUUUUGUGUGUGUGACGGCUGUGUGGGGAGCGGAGGAGCAGAGCGGUUGGCGCCACUUUCAAAUCUUCCACUGACACAGAAUGAGAGUCCGGCUACAAAUACAUUUACACACCAAUGUACUUAUCAUAUUAACCGUAUAACGAGGAAUAUCUUAACACAGUUUUUGUCCUGGACAUUUCUUUCUUCGGAAGUGCUGCAAUCAUCAUACCCAAAAAGGUGAGUAGGCAGAAAGAGUAUGCUAUAAUAUAAAUUAACAAGAACCGAGAGGACUCUGCCAGUUCUUAAGAAUAAUUGUAUGGACUGAAUGUGAGACUUGAGGAUGUCGAAAUUGAAAUUUAACAUUCAGAUAAUCCACAGAUAUGAAAAUGCCUUUUUACACCACACCAAAAUAUUAUUCAACGUCAAUAUGCCGCCAGUUUAUCCACAUUAGGGUGUAAAAUGGUCGUCAUUCUCAAAGCGUUAAAGAACUAAUGUUUCCUUUCAUAUUAUGGAAUAAAUCUUCAAAACUGAAACUACUGGUAUUUGUAUAAUGAUUUAAAAUGGUUGGGGG